GUUAAAAAUAACAGUUUUUUUAGGAUAAUAUAAUGAUGUUACAAGUAUUUGGAGUUUUUUCAAUAAGUUUCAAAACCGAUAAUAGAAUACACUAAUUUUUCCAUCUUUUAGUGUUUAAAUUUUAACUCCUAUUUUCGACCUAAUGUAUACAUUAUUAAUGAACGCCAUAAGUUAGUCAAUCAUUUUCUUUUUUUUAAAGGAAAAUAGACUUUAUAAUCGCGGAGGAAAAGUUCCAGUCGAAUUAAUACGACGUAUGCUGGGGUAUGUUUUUACUCCUCAUUUGUCUCGUACAAUUUCAUGGUUAGGAAGGAAGAAGAACCAUAGGUUGGAAGGAACUCAUUUUACCCAUAUAUUAUUUGGGUGUCUCAGAAAUACUGCGACUUUUCUCGUGGGCAAAUAGAGAGGGUUAAAAUGAAUAAAGUCCAUUUUGCAAUUUUCGCAAUAAAUGAAGAAAUAAUUAAAAAAGAUUUGUGAAUAAGCGUGCAUUUAGCGACAAAGAUGCCGUGAAAAAGCGAUUUAAAAAAAUUGACGAUCGUACCGUUGAAAUUACAAUAAUUGAUUGGUUCCGGCGAGCAUCGGAGAGGAUUCCAAAGGAUUGUAAUACGAAGAAGUAAUUUAAAUAUUCAUUAUUAUAAGGUUAUAUUCAUAACGUUCUUACAGUUUUCUACAUCAUCUAUUAUUUCUAUUGUAAGAAGCUAAUAGUAUAAUAAGUUAAGUAACUUGUCAUUGUCAUAAGUAUAAUUUUAAAAAUAAAAUAUUACAUAAGUAUUCAUUAUAAAAA